rnacentral:rRNA from 1 species
UGCAGGCUGCAACUCGCCUGCAUGAAGUCGGAAUUGCUAGUAAUCGCAGAUCAGCAUGCUGCGGUGAAUACGUUCCCGGGCCUUGUACACACCGCCCGUCACACCAUGGGAGUCGGUAACACCCGAAGUCGGUAGCCUAACCGUAAGGAGGGCGCCGCCGAAGGUGGGAUUGAUGACUGGGGUGAAGUCGUAACAAGGUAUC